AUGUUCUCUACAUCUCUACUGCUCCUGCUGGCAGCUGCAUCCUGUGUCCACUCUCAGGUUGUUCUCACACAGUCUGAGAGGCCAGUAACAGUGGCUCCAGGUGGCUCGCACAAACUGACCUGUGCCUGCAGUGGAUUCAGUGUGAGCAGCUACAGGAUGCACUGGAUCCGACAGGCUCCUGGAAAAGGACUGGAAUGGAUCAUCGCUUAUCAUUCUGAGAGUUACAAAAGCUCAGCCCAGUCAGUUCAGGGCAGAUUCACAGCAUCCAAGGACAGCUCUAAUCUCUACCUGCACAUGAGUCAACUGAAGCCUGAAAACACUGCAGUGUAUUUCUGUGCUAGAGACUCACUGUGGUGGGAUUCCUAUACGCAGAUGUACAAAAACUAG